rnacentral:rRNA from 1 species
UACGAAGGGGGCUAGCGUUGCUCGGAAUCACUGGGCGUAAAGCGCACGUAGGCGGACUCUUAAGUCGGUGGUGAAAUCCUGGAGCUCAACUCCAGAACUGCCUUCGAUACUGAGAGUCUCGAGUCCGGGAGAGGUGAGUGGAACUGCGAGUGUAGAGGUGAAAUUCGUAGAUAUUCGCAAGAACACCAGUGGCGAAGGCGGCUCACUGGCCCGGUACUGACGCUGAGGUGCGAAAGCGUGGGGGAGCGAACAGG